GAUGAGGGAGUUUCCCGCCAAAUAAGGGACGGUUGACAGCUAUGGUUGCACAUCUGGUGCGAGGUUUGCCUUCGCAAAGCCGAGCAUCACCUCUACAUCCAGGUGUUCCUUUCCCCGGAGAAUCUCGGAGGAGCUCUGACGAUGUCAGCCUGAAGGGGCUUCACUUGUUGCAGCUGAGAAGGCAGGAGGGCUUGGCCAUCAAACCACGAGAAUUGGAGUUCCCCUUCAUGUAGAUUCCCUCCAGAGCUGAAUUCUCCAGAGUGGACAAAUCCCAUCUGGCAGGUCCUUCCCCUGAGAAAAUCUACAGCCGGAAUGGGGACGUUCCCCAGAGAGUGCGAUUUUUAAGGUUCACAAAACAAGACGUUGCCAUCUGCAUCUCCUCUUCCCCAUCUCUCCCUCAUCAGCGAAGCAACACAGCCAGGGCCGUCGUGCUGUUCAGAACUGUAUCCCCUGGAGAAAUCUCUAUUCCUAAGGGCAAUUUCUAUUUUCCUGCCUCUGUACGGUUUUCUUUGUUUGUUUCUCCAGAUGAAAUAUGACCCACUGGGCCGGGAAAAGAUGGUCAUCACUGAGACAGCCAUUUCUUGGAUUCUAGCUAUCCAUCCCCUCAGCAGAUACUGGGAGAUUUAUGUAGUGUAAGUGAUGUAUAAACAGAACAACACACAUAAAACAAGGACAGUCGGUCCUUGCCCCAAGAGCUCGCAGUCUAAAUUUUGACAGCAGGGGAGAUAAUAAUGAAAGACCAGAGAGUAUGGAGGGAGGAAAGAGCUGGUGCAAAACACCACCGAGAAAGGCAGAGUGGAGUAGCGGUUAGUGUGUGGGAAGAAGACCAGGGAUACAGUACCUGGAACGAUAUCCCUGCACCUUAAGCAACUCUCUUCUUCUCAACCUGAACUACCUUACAGGGUCCUUAUGAGGAUAGGAUUUGAGCUCCUUUGGCAAAAAAGGCAGCAUCAAAACUGUUGUUUCUUCAUCUCAUCUUACCUGCAUGGAUCAUGAUCGUUUUCAAAUUGAUAAAUGUCUUUUCUUCCUUUGUCAUGUUCCAAUAAUAAUAAUAAUAAUAAUUUUUAUUUGUAUCCCGCCC